CUUGGGAGAUACUAAAACUAACAAAAAAAGAUGGAAAAACGAUCAAAUUGGGCCAAGCGAAAGGUUUCAUGGAGUAUCCCCAAUUGAUGAGUGCAGAAUGAAGCUAAGAAACAUGCUCCCUGAGAGCUAAGUCUUCCUCCAAGCACGCCAGGGAGGAGCAAAGCCAUAGUGCCAAAGCCCAGCAUCAUGGCCCUAAAAUGAGAGAUGCAUACAGUCCUUGAUACUUUAGAAAAUUAAAUAAAGGUUCCCAUGGGGACAGAU
rnacentral:lncRNA from 1 species